CGCGGCGUGCCCGCGGCGUCGCGCGCUGAUGAGUUUACCACAGCCAGCUGCUCCCGGCUCGGGUCGCUCCGGCUGCGGCGGUGGCUGCCGCGGCUGCUGUGCGGCGUCGGGCGAGCCGGGGGCGCCGAGAUGGAACCGCUGGCGCCCAUGCGGCUGUACACACUCUCCAAGCGCCACUUUGUCCUGGUGUUUGUCGUCUUCUUCAUUUGUUUCGGCCUGACGGUCUUCAUUGGGAUCAGAGGGCCCAAAGUGAUCCAGACUUCUGCAGCUAAUUUUUCACUAAAUAAUACCAGAAAGCUAAAGCCAAUUCACAUACUUUCAAAUCCACUGUCCACGUAUAAUCAGCAACUGUGGCUGACAUGUGUUGUUGAGUUGGAUCAAUCAAAAGAAACAUCUAUUCAGACAAGCUUUCCCUUUCCCAUGACUGUUAAAGUCAAUGGUAUAGCUGAAGAUGGAACCACAAUGUUCAUCCAUAACAAGGUUCACAAUCGGACAAGGACCCUCACUUGUGCAGAGAAAUGUGCAGAGAUUAUCGUGGCCCACCUCGGCUACUUGAAUUACACCCAGUACACAGUGAUUGUGGGAUUCGAACUCUUGAAGUGGCCUGUCAAGGAAAUGAACUUCACAUGGAAGACUUAUAACCCUGCAUUUUCACAAUUGGAAAUCUGGUUCCGAUUUGUCUUUGUGGUGCUUACCUUCAUUGUCACCUGCCUGUUUGCACACUCCCUACGGAAAUUCUCCAUGCGGGACUGGGGGAUCGAGCAGAAGUGGAUGUCCAUUCUUUUGCCUCUGCUGCUGCUUUACAAUGAUCCUUUCUUCCCCCUCUCCUUUCUGGUGAACAGCUGGUUCCCGGGGAUGCUGGACGAUGUCUUCCAGUCCAUGUUUCUCUGUGCCUUGCUUCUCUUCUGGCUGUGUGUGUACCAUGGCAUCCGUGUCCAGGGAGAAAGAAAGUGUUUAACUUUCUAUUUGCCUAAAUUCUUUAUUGUUGGACUGUUGUGGUUGGCGUCUGUCACACUAGGAAUAUGGCAAACAGUUAAUGAAUUACAUGAUCCAACGUACCAAUAUCGAGUUGACACAGGAAAUUUUCAGGGAAUGAAGACUUUUUUCAUGGUGGUGGCAGCUGUGUAUAUCUUAUACCUUCUGUUCUUGAUAGUGCGGGCUUGCUCCGAGCUGCGUCACAUGCCUUACGUAGAUCUCAGGUUAAAAUUUUUGACCGCGUUGACCUUUGUGGUGCUUGUCAUUAGCAUCGUCAUCCUUUAUUUAAGGUUUGGAGCACAGGUAUUACAAGACAAUUUUGUAGCUGAACUGUCAACCCACUACCAGAAUUCAGCAGAAUUCUUAUCUUUCUACGCCUUGUUGAACUUUAUCUCUACACCUUGGCAUUGUGUAUUCCCCAUCGAAGAAUGCUCUGCUACGGUAAGCCACCCUGGGGUCUGGAUUGCUUCUAGAGAGCCUUAAACAAACAGGACCCACUUGCUAGGUUUGUCAUUGUUGUGGGGCACCACAAUUCACCUGCUCUUCUCUUCAGCAGAGAUAAGGUAAUUUAAAUGUCAGACUCUGAGUUUUAGUUAGAACCCAGCAAUUGUUGAACCUGAGUCGUGUUGUUCCAGCACAAGAUGUCAAGUGUACGUCCAUCAGUCCUCUUGCCACAGGGAAAUAAGUCUGUUGAGUACUAGGACAUGCCAUUCAAAAUAAGGCCAGAACAAAGCCAAACAAGCAAACAAAACCUGCCUCUUGCAUAGGGAAUUAAAGGAUGAGGACUUCCUGGAACAGAGGCAAGAGAUAUUUUGUAGUAUUUCAGUACCUGACACUUUAUAUCGGUGUGAGUUUUCAAAACACUUUUGUGUACAUUGUCUCAUUUGAUCUUAACAACAACUUUAUGAUAAAGGUAUAAUUAACUCCACUUUACAGAGGGAGAGACUUAGACGUGAAUUCCUGCAGGUCCAACGUCUGGCAGGGGAGCAGGGCAGACAGAGCCGGGCUUCUGAGGCCUCUUUUCCCUGUCUGCACUUGGAGAAAGGAACGGGCAUCUUGGGGCCUGCCUCCGGCGAGGGAGGCAGCCUCACCUGGGUGGGCUCCAGCUUAUGCCUGGACUUUGAGGCAGGAUGAUUUCAUCUACUCCACAACCCUGCGAGGUAGACAGUGUUACCUCUGCCUUGUGGUUGAGGAAAUGGACUCACAACAUGAAAUGGUUGGUUCAGGUUCACCUGGAUAAUAAAUGGUGGAAGCUGGGAUGUGAAGUCAGCCCUUCUGACUCUGAUCCUUUUUCCAGGACAGGGUCUUGCCUCCUCAGGCUAAUAGCAUGAAUUGCUCGAAAUAAAAAUGCUUUUGUUGGUUUCAGAGUCCCAGUUGAAAGACAAUCCUGCAUUUUCCAUGCUGAACGACUCUGACGAUGAUGUCAUCUAUGGGAGUGACUAUGAAGAAAUGCCUCUGCAGAACGGCCAGGCCAUUCGGGCCAAGUACAAGGAAGAGUCGGAGAGUGACUGAGCCCUUGGCAAAGGGCGGCACGACUUCAAGGAACCUGGACGUUUUUCUGCAGUGACCACUCCCUGGCCUCCCCCAUACCUGCUUAUAUUCAGACAUUUUCUUAUAAGCAAAGAUUUCCUGUUCCUUAUUUGUUUACAUAUUUUUUAAAAUGAAAACCAAAACUGAGGGUGGAUUUAAACGUUGGACCAAAUUUAUUGCCAGGGUGGCUUCGUUUAUUUGGGAAGAGAGGUGCUGAUGAAAAAGUUUCAAUAGCCAGAUCUUUUUUCUACAAGAUUUCAGAUGAAAAAUAGCAUGUUUUCAGUGGCGAGAGGGACAAUUACCCCAGUUUUUAGUAGAAAAGAAUUGCAUACCUUGUUUUUUUCCUAAUUCACUAAUUCCAAGUUCACAUGAAUCACUUAUGAGUAAGGUGCAUAGCAGAAUUGCUGUUCCUGUUCUUUCUCCCUGCCCUCCCUUCCCACACUACUGUUUUGACCCAUUAAACUUAAAGGGAACCUGUCUGUCCUGUGGCUGCCUCCCGAGGGCAGCCCAUCACCGUUGAGUGGUAAAGGCUCUGGCUAACCAGGUAUCUUGAAUGAUUGCUUAUUAAAUUGUGUUCCGUGAAAAAUACAUGAGUUACAGCCCAUGAGAGGAUUGGUUCAGUGGGGAGAUUCUAGCCUGUCAACCUAUCACCAAAGCAGAAGCAGUGGUGUGGUAGACUUCUGAUGAGGGUUUCAUAAGGAAAGGCUAAGAUCAUUUAUAGGUUGCCAGCUCCAGUGGGAAAGGUAUUGUUCCCAUGCAGUUUCUCAAGAGCAUGUGUGCUUGUAUGUGUCUGUGUGUGGUUGGGGAGGGGAAGAGGGUAAUUGUUACAAUUCCAAUCAGUAGUUAUUUCUGCAAUUCUGUUAAAAUAUGACAUUCCUUACAGCUUUUUUUUUUAACUAAACAAAUGAUUGAUAUAAUAUAGAUUCUUCUUGCCAAAAAGUUUUUCAAUUUCAAUUUGGAAACUAGAUGAAAAGAAAGCAAAACAUAAUAAACAGCUCAUGGAAAAACAUCACUGGGUGAAGGUAAAUGGUUUGGAAAUCUUUCCCUAUCCUCUGUGUUUCACAUGGUGGUCAGAGAAACAGAGGGAUUGCUCUGGAAAAGAGAAGGCAUCUGGUGUGGCAGGAUCUUUAACAAACUCAGAGGCCCAGCAGAGUUGCCUAUUUCUUUUUGCCAAAGACUAAAUGUAGAAGCCUGGUAUAAAUACUUCCUUCACUUUUCCUUUGACAUACACACUAAUGUCUCUAACUAUUAACAUAUUAUAAAUUGUAAACAUCCUUUUUGAUGCCAUCUUGGCAAAUACACAAGUACAGAAUAUGAUUUCCCACUCGGCAAACAGUAGCUAUGUUUUCUUCAUCUAUGCAUUAACUCUCAAAUUACUAUUCACAGCUAAAAAUUAUGUUCCCCUUUAGUUCUGCUGGGACCCUUAGAGAUGUGCUUGUGAGGCUGUUCAUGUGGACACCUUAGUAUCUUUUUUAAUUUAAACUUAAGUGAUAAUGUCACUUACGGACUCCAUUUACAUUGGUUUAAAAAAAACCUUGUAAAUAUGAAUUUUGAAGUAAACAACUGUAUUAUUGCAAGGGUAAUUCAAGUUUACAUAGCUUUUACAUUUGCAAUGGUGUCAUUACUUGAUUCAGUAUAUUGGAAAAAUAUUGUUACCAAAUUUUAUAACUUCUAAUAAGACUAUAAAUAAUUUAAUGUAAACUAACGAAACUUGUUCUGAUCUGUGAUAGAGUUUACAAAUUUUAGUCAUUUAUGUCCUUUAUGAUUUGGAAUGCUAUUAUUUAUCAGUAAAUAUAAAAUAUUUGAGGCAUUUAACUGUAUACAUUAGAAGUUUUAAAAAAUUGUCUUUGUCUUCAAAUGUAAUUAUGAACUAAUGACUUACAUCUUCAUACUGUAAUUCUUCAUGGCAUCAAGUCAAUGAAAUUAAAAAUAUGAGGGUAUUUAAUUUUUAUGUAACUAAGUUAGAAACAAGAAAAAAACUGCAACAGAAAGUAUUUACAGGGGAAGUGGUUCUUUAUUAAAUCAUGCCAUUUUCAGUUUCUUUCCAUGGUGUAGCAUAUACAUAUAAGUGUAUUACAUGCUUCUUGUAAAAUGUGCUUAAGUAUAUAGAACUUAGCAUGUAGAUGUGCCAUAAGUAAUUAAGUUAAAACAUAAUUUGCAAGAAACCUGACAGCAAGAAAAAAUAUUUUUUUGGAAUAUAUCAAAGUUUUGCAAACUUAAAUUGCCAGGUAAAAAGGCUGACCUGAGUUCUUCAUGGUAAUGGCUUAAAUAAUAUCAUUUUUGGAUAAUUUUUUUUUAUACUGGUCUAGUCUAGGGGAAGCCUGGAAGAUGGUCAUAGGUAUUUAAUGGUUUCCCUAGGGACAGCUUCACUGUCCAUGUGGAUAUAGGUCUGCUUGAUUUAUUAAUCUUUACAGCAGUAAGUGAUGUGGUUUUAUCUCUUUUAAGCCCAUUUUGAAAGGCUAGAGAAGGGGAUAUAUAAGAUAUUCAAGGUUUGUUAGGUUCUUACUGUACAUAGUCACAUAAAAGAAGUCUAGAUACAUUAUGUAAAUCCAAUCCGCUAAAUGGACAGGAUUUAAGACAAAUGUCACCAGCUCAACUAUUUCAUGACUGAAGGUUCCAUUAUGCUAAUAGGUUAUCAUAUGGUCAGUAACUUAUUCCUGAAUCCUCUUUACAGAAAAAAACAAGCUUAUAGAGGAAGGGAUGAUUAAAAGGGACAUCUCUGUCAGCAUCUAGUUAAAACUAGACUUAAAAACACUAAAGUAUAUUUGUGUACAUUGAGGGUUCUAGAAACAGUUGCCUUAGAGGUUAGACUUUGGGAAAAAAAAAGAUGCAAAUCUUUUUCCCUGGGCCAAAGGGAAGUUGCUUUAGUCUGUGAUAUCUCAGACUAUUUAUCUUGAUUUGACAUGCUUUAGAUAUACUGGUAACUAUAGCAUACUAUGAAACAUAGAAGGAUGUUCUGCUACUGAAAACUGCCUUUUUACAAAAAGACUGUAAAUAUUUGUAAAAUAAAGCACCGAACUUUUAACUAAGAGAAUUAUGUAUUAUAUAUUAUGGAACUGUGCCAAUGGCACACAGGUAUCACCUCAUCACAGAAUGACCAUUAUAAUCAGCCAGGUAAAAGUGAAUCAAUGUUUGUUUGGGAAUGGCUUUAUUCUAACACUACCUUUCUGGUAAAUGUUAAUAAAUUGUUAAUAUUCUGUCCUAAUA